rnacentral:rRNA from 1 species
UACGACUACAUAUCAGGCAUAUCAAUAAGCGGAGGAAAAGAAACUAACUAGGAUUCCCUUAGUAACGGCGAGUGAAGCGGGAAGAGCUCAAAUUUGAAAUCUUCAAGGUUUUACCUUGACGAAUUGUAGCUUAAAGAAGUGUUUUCUAUUGGAGUUUUGGUAAAAGUUCUUUGGAAUAGGACAUCAUAGAGGGUGAGAAUCCCGUAUUUGACCAUUAUUUUCAGCUGUGUGAUACACUUUCAAAGAGUCGGAUUGUUUGGGAAUGCAGUCCAAAAUGGGUGGUAAAUUUCAUCUAAAGCUAAAUAUUGGCGAGAGACCGAUAGCGAACAAGUACCGUGAGGGAAAGAUGAAAAGAACUUUGAAAAGAGAGUUAAACAGUACGUGAAAUUGUCAAAAGGGAAGCGUUUGACACCAGUGUUGUUUUCUCGAAAAUCAAUUAAAAAGAGUUGGAUUUUGUGUUGUAUUGACCUUAACAGCUUGCUUCACUCUUUUCCAGCUUUUUUUAAUGCACUUUUCGUUUAACAAGUCAACAUCAGUUUCUUUUGUUGUAAAAGGGUCAUUGGAAGGUGGCUUUCUCUUCGGAGAAAGUGUUUAUAGCCUUUGAUCUCUGCAAUCGGAGAGACUGAGGUCUGCAGCGUAGAUCCUUCGGGGUUAGAUACAUUUGUGCUAAGCUACAGCUUUUCAUAGACAACUUGUUGACUAUGUUUAGUCUUGUGACUUACCCGCUUAUGCUAUUUUACCUACGCUUAGGAUGUUGAGCGCAUGUCUCUCUCU